AGAAUGAACGCUGGCGGCAUGCCUAACACAUGCAAGUCGAACGAAUUACCUUCGGGUAGUUAGUGGCGCACGGGUGCGUAACGCGUGGGAAUCUGCCCCUUGGUUCGGAAUAACAGCGAGAAAUUGCUGCUAAUACCGGAUGAUGACGUAAGUCCAAAGAUUUAUCGCCAAGGGAUGAGCCCGCGUAGGAUUAGGUAGUUGGUGUGGUAAAGGCGCACCAAGCCGACGAUCCUUAGCUGGUCUGAGAGGAUGAUCAGCCACACUGGGACUGAGACACGGCCCAGACUCCUACGGGAGGCAGCAGUGGGGAAUAUUGGACAAUGGGCGAAAGCCUGAUCCAGCAAUGCCGCGUGAGUGAUGAAGGCCUUAGGGUUGUAAAGCUCUUUUGGUCGGAAGAAAGGAUUCGGGCGAAUACCCUGGAUUUUGACGGUACCGGCAGAAUAAGCACGGCUAACUACGCGCCAGCAGCCGCGGU
rnacentral:rRNA from 1 species